rnacentral:lncRNA from 1 species
UCCUUUAUUGGAUAUCUCUAAAGCAAUGAUUUCUAAUUGCUUUCAAGUAUAAUAAGGCACAACACUAAUGGUGAGUCGCCUAGGACAGAAGGGAACCUACAAAUAAGCUCCACCUGCCCCUGAUAAAUAAACCCAAUCGAGUGAUAUGUGUGUCUCCACUCCAUAAUUUGCUCAUAGAUAAAAGCAUGUACUCCCUCGUCCCACAUUAGACGAUGUUUUAGAAUCUCCCACGAAAACCAAUGUCGAAACUAAAAGAUCAAAAUACCCCUCGAGGAGUAGAGAUAGGAUGUAGUAUUGAAAAAUGAAAAAGAUGUCGGAGAGAAGAGAAAGAUAUAUUAGCUGAAAAGACUCAAAAAAUUGGCCAUGAGUAGUUGCACUGCACAUACAUGUACAAUGUGUUUCAAAAGGCUAAUACUCCCUCCAUUUGAAAUUAUAAGAAGUUUCGACUCAUCAAGGUACAAAUUUUCUAUGCAUUUAAAUAUACACUAGUUAGUUAAAGUAGUAUAUCUAAAAACCAAAACGUCUUGCCGGUAUAAGAGUACUACUGUACUAGUAUAUAUGCACAUGGUUGUAAUAACGUAUUUGCCUAGCAUAAUCAUUCGGUUACUAUUGCCUGGUACCACUAGUUGUCAUGUUCAGUAGUAAAAGAUUACUGCGGACUAUGAGGACGAUGGUAUUUUUUUUUUUUGGAAAGGGGUAAAAGAAAAGUUGCUACUCCGUACGAACUAGUGCACUAAGGCGAUCCAAAAUUUUUUUAUUUUGAUACUGUAGCAUUUUUGUUUUUAUUUGACAAACAAUAUCUAAUCAUGGAGCAACUAGGCUUAAAAAAUUCGUCUUAUGAUUUACAGAUAAACUGUGCAAUUAGUUAUAUUUUUUUAUCUAUAUUUAGUGUUCCAUGCAUGUGCCGCAAAAUUCGAUGUGAUGGGGAAUCUUGUAAAGUUUUGGGUUUUUGAUGUAUCUAAACAAGGGCUAAGUAUACUCCUACUAGUACGAGUACUACUUGCUAGUACGUGCCUGUUGAUGUUUUGUUGGUAUCCUUGUGCCGCAGCAGACGGGGACAGCAGCAGCUCCAGUAGCUUUAGCACGCUUUCAUGAAAAUCUUUGGACGAGGCCCAAAAUAUUUCCGUUUCCUGUUGUCUCUAUCUCUUUUCCAGUUUUCACUGCAUAAGCUUGCCCGGCGUCUGCCAUGUACUGUAUAUUACUGCGACCUUUUGGCGUUGAUGAAAAUUUUUGCAAAAUGUUACUGCAGCAUUUUGUUUGUAUUUGAUAAUUACUGUUUAACUAUGAACUAACUAGAUUUAAAAGAUUCGUCUCGCAAAUUAAAGAUGAACUAUGUAAUUAAUUAUUUUUUUAUCUAUAUUUAAUACUUCAUACAUGUACCGCAAGAUUUGAUGUGAUAAAAAAUGUUAGGCCUUGUUUAGUUCCCAAAAAAUUUUGCAAAAUUUUUCAGAUUCCCCGUCACAUCAAAUAUUUAGACGCAUGCAUAGAGUAUUAAAUAUAGACGAAAAUAAAAACUAAUUGCACGGUU